rnacentral:rRNA from 1 species
AGCAGUAGCCGCGGUAAUACAGAGGGUGCGAGCGUUAAUCGGAUUUACUGGGCGUAAAGCGUGCGUAGGCGGCUUCUUAAGUCGGAUGUGAAAUCCCUAAGCUUAACUUAGGAAUUGCAUUCGAUACUGGGAAGCUAGAGUAUGGGAGAGGAUGGUAGAAUUCCAGGUGUAGCGGUGAAAUGCGUAGAGAUCUGGAGGAAUACCGAUGGCGAAGGCAGCCAUCUGGCCUAAUACUGACGCUGAGGUACGAAAGCAUGGGGAGCAAACAGGAUUAGAUACCCCUGUAGUCCCUGUCUCUUAUAU